AUUGAACGCUGGCGGCAGGCCUAACACAUGCAAGUCGAACGAGGGGCGGACGGGUGAGAAAUGUCUGGGAAACUGCCUGAUGGGGGGGGAUAUCUAAUGGAAACGGUAGCUAAUACCGCACACCCUAAGAUGUGCCCAGAUGGGAUGAGAUUGUUGGUGGUGUAACGGCUCACCAAGGCGACGAGCCCUAGCUGGUCUGAGAGGAGGACCAGCCACACUGGAACUGAGACACGGUCCAGACUCCGACGUGAGGCAGCAGUGGGGAAUAUUGCACAAUGGGCGCAAGCCUGAUGCAGCCAUGCCGCGUGUAUGAAGAAGGCCUUCGGGUUGUAAAGUACUUUCAGCGGGGAGGCGUUACCCGCAGAAGAAGCACCGGCUAACUCCGUGCCAGCAGCCGCGGUAAUAC
rnacentral:rRNA from 1 species